CCCUCUCUUCUUCUCUUCAAGACCCAUUUUUCUUCCCUCUCUUCUUCUCGUCAAGAUUUGUUGAUGAAUAACUGAUUAUCUGUACUCCACUGAAGUAAGAAGUUCUAUCAAGAUGAGUGGUGAUGAAAGUGAUUCUGAUUCGAGCAAAAUGAGAAGAUUUCUUAGGUACCCUAGAAGGAGCUUAAGGGUUGAACUAUUCAGCACCAAUAGAUGGACUGUUUAUAAUGAUGUGGAUAUGAAGUUUGGUGGUCUUGAUUGGUUGAUUGAACUUAUUACAUGGGAGAUGCAAAUCAGAGAAACAAAGAUGAUUAAGUUUUGGUUUUCUCCAGAUAAUGUGCCAGAACUAAUUACAAAUGAUAAUGAGUACUUUAACAUGUGGAAGGAUAAUGGUGUUCAACACUUUCUUUUGGAUCAGUUAUAUAUAUAAGUAGUUACAUUAUAUUACUUCUUGUUUAACGCUUUCAUUACAUUUGUAGAUUCUUUUGUAAUUGCUUACACAGGUCAGCCAUCUUCAACUUAGCAGAUCUUUCCUUGGAUUUGGCAGCAAGGAAAACAGCAUCACAGACCCACUGGAAGUCUUGACAUUGGAUGUUGUUGCAUUGCAGGCAUUGAACUGGUGGUUUAUGUCACCACAAGCAAAGAAACACUUAUUGGCAGGAAGCUGAACAUCCAAAGCUUUAACAACAUAUAUUGCAUCUACAAACUAUUCAAAAUAGUUGCAGAUGGAUCAGUUGAAGAACUUCUCACUAGGAUGCUCAGGAGUUUGAGACAACAACAUUCUCCUAACACCAUUACAAGAUAAAUGGAUGGUGGUUUUAUAGCAGACAAAACAUAAUAUGACCGUUCAAAGGUCAUGUUUGGGAUGAACGGUCAUAUUUGGAUGACUUUGAUGAUGUGUACAACUUGCCACGUCAUGGUAAUCUGCCAGGUGGAAGUUGCAAAGAUGACAUGGACAUGUUGCCACUUGUACAAGAUGCCACGUAGGCUAGUGCAGUUAACUACCUAGAGUUAGAUGUCAAGGGCAGGUUUGUCUAUUUUUGGGUGUAAAUACAUGUGACGUGUGCAACGUUUUUUUUUAUUUGAAAAAUUUGGAUGGAAAAUCUUGUAAGAGGAACAUAUUUGUAAUUCUGUUUAA